GAGACAUUUGAAAAAAUAUGAGAUAUUCCGAAAUGAAUUUAUAUAGCUCUCUGAUAUAUAUUAGUUGGCUUGGACUGAAGGAGGUUCGAUUACUCAUCUUCAAGUUCCGAAAAGGAAGAGAAGAUGAGGAAGAAAACUCUCCUUGCGGUGAUCACUGGGUUCAUGGUGGUGAUGUUCUUCUUGGCUGCUGCAACUGCCAGAUUGGAGGUCAAGGAGCACGAGAUCCAUCCACAAGGAUGCAGGUGCUGCUGGUUCAUUCUCAGGCCCAUGAUUCGAUGCGACAAAGUCUGCUGUGGAGAUGAUUGCUGCUCAUAACAAUUAGUAACCGGGACCAAUGCCUCCCUAACAUUUGGAGUCCUCUGAAAUGGAAUUGGACAAGAAGUAAUCGCUCGGGCUAAUGCAAGGGAGUUGUAAAACAGAGGCAUUAGUAAUUGAAAGUCCGUAUGU